rnacentral:rRNA from 1 species
AACGAACGCUGGCGGCGUGCCUAACACAUGCAAGUCGUGCGAGAAAGUUCCUUCGGGAGCGAGUAAAGCGGCGCACGGGUGAGUAACACGUAGGUAACCUGCCCCCCAGUCUGGAACAACUAGAGGAAACUCUAGCUAAUGCCGGAUGAGACCACGAUCCCUUCGGGGGUUGCGGCCAAAGAUGGCCUCUACUUGUAAGCUAUCGCUGAGGGAUGGGCCUGCGGCCAUUAGCUUGUUGGUGAGGUAACGGCUCACCAAGGCUGUGAUGGCUAGCUGGUCUGAGAGGAUGACCAGCCACACUGGGACUGAGACACGGCCCAGACUCCUACGGGAGGCAGCAGUGGGGAAUAUUGCGCAAUGGGCGAAAGCCUGACGCAGCGACGCCGCGUGGGUGAUGAAGGCC